rnacentral:tmRNA from 1 species
GGGGGCGACUGGUUUCGACAUGGGUGGUCUGAGGUGAGGAGCAGGUCGUGGUCUCCUCGCCACGUUAAACAGGGGUACUGUCAAAAUUAAUUGGCAAGAAGAACUACACUGGGCAGUACGCCCUCGCCGCAUAACAUAAGUCGGCGCGUCAAUCCCGGAUUCUUUCCCGCCCCGGGUGCGAUGUCAUUUUAGGGAAAUGCUCUUCGGCACGUAGACGGUAUGGCCGAAGCUAAGACCGAACCGACUCGAGGCUGCAACGCCCGUCGUUGCGCCGAGCAGCCUUCAAACGAGAGCAUCGACUAAGCUUGUAGAGCCUGACCAGGGAUCAUCUAUGGACCGGAGUUCGAUUCUCCGCGCCUCCACCA